GUAACAGGGUUAUUAUUUCUUCAUGUUAUAUUUCACCAAAAUCCUGUUUCCGUUCAUUAUUUUGUCACUUCUUUUGUUGACAGUUUAUUUUUGUAUUUAUAAUUUUGGGAGCUUUUAUUUUGAAGUCCAUCGACUGUGCGAUGUCACUUCCGGUCCCGCGCAAGCUCUCCUCAGAAGCRRGUAGCAGAGCUGAGGAGAGGCUGUGAUUGUGAGAAACCAUGAGCUGUACUGACUGAUAUUAUUUGUGCACAGGUAUGUGAUUGUUCUGUUUUAUCGCGUUUAAAAUGUAUUUCAUGUAUUUUAUA